rnacentral:RNase_P_RNA from 1 species
UGGGAUGGUCAGGCGAUCGCGUGCCGCUUAGGCGGCCCGAGGAACGUCCGGGCUCCACAGAACAGGGUGGUGGGUAACGCCCACUCGGGGUGACCCGCAGGCUAGUGCCACAGAAAGUAAACCGCCAGGCUCGUCCUGGUAAGGGUGAAAGGGUGGUGUAAGAGACCACCAGUGCCCCGGGUGACCGGGGCAGCUAGGUAAACCCCACCCGGAGCAAGGUCAGACAGAUUGCGUUUGAGGGCUGUUCGCCCAAGCAAUCGGGUGGACCGCUAGAGGCUGUCGGCAACGGCAGUCGUAGAUAGAUGAUCGCCACCGCACUGCGGUACAGAACCCGGCGUAUCGGCCAUCCCAUUCA